rnacentral:tRNA from 1 species
AGUUAAAAAACUUUAUAGAAAAGUAUAUGUCUUGAAAGCAUAAUAAAGAAGUUUAAUUCUUCUAUUAACUU